UGGCUCUCGCAUCGAUGAAGAACGCAGCGAAAUGCGAUAAGUAAUGUGAAUUGCAGAAUUCAGUGAAUCAUCGAAUCUUUGAACGCACCUUGCGCUCCUUGGUAUUCCGAGGAGCAUGCCUGUUUGAGUGUCAUGAAAUCUUCAAUCUAUAAGCUUCUUAAUUGGAGUUUGUAGUCUUGGACUUGGAGGCUUGUCGGUCCUUUACAGGUCGGCUCCUCUUAAAUGCAUUAGCUUGGUUCCUUGCGGAUCGGCUUGUCGGUGUGAUAAUGUCUACGCCGCGACCGUGAAGCGUGUUUGGGCGAGCUUCUAACUGUCUCGUUAUAGAGACAACUUUAUGACCUCUGACCUCAAAUCAGGUAGGACUACCCGCUGA
rnacentral:misc_RNA from 1 species